CAGGCUUAACACAUGCAAGUCGAGGGGCAUCAGGAAGAAAGCUUGCUUUCUUUGCUGGCGACCGGCGCACGGGUGAGUAACACGUAUCCAACCUGCCCUUUACUCGGGGAUAGCCUUUCGAAAGAAAGACUAAUACCCGAUAGCAUAAUGAUUCCGCAUGGUUUCAUUAUUAAAGGAUUCCGGUAAAGGAUGGGGAUGCGUUCCAUUAGGUUGUUGGUGAGGUAACGGCCCACCAAGCCUUCGAUGGAUAGGGGUUCUGAGAGGAAGGUCCCCCACAUUGGAACUGAGACACGGUCCAAACUCCUACGGGAGGCAGCAGUGAGGAAUAUUGGUCAAUGGGCGCUAGCCUGAACCAGCCAAGUAGCGUGAAGGAUGAAGGCUCUAUGGGUCGUAAACUUCUUUUAUAUAAGAAUAAAGUGCAGUAUGUAUACUGUUUUGUAUGUAUUAUAUGAAUAAGGAUCGGCUAACUCCGUGCCAGCAGCCGCGGUAAUACGGAGGAUCCGAGCGUUAUCCGGAUUUAUUGGGUUUAAAGGGAGCGUAGGUGGACUGGUAAGUCAGUUGUGAAAGUUUGCGGCUCAACCGUAAAAUUGCAGUUGAUACUGUCAGUCUUGAGUACAGUAGAGGUGGGCGGAAUUCGUGGUGUAGCGGUGAAAUGCUUAGAUAUCACGAAGAACUCCGAUUGCGAAGGCAGCUCACUGGACUGCAACUGACACUGAUGCUCGAAAGUGUGGGUAUCAAACAGGAUUAGAUACCCUGGUAGUCCACACAGUAAACGAUGAAUACUCGCUGUUUGCGAUAUACAGUAAGCGGCCAAGCGAAAGCAUUAAGUAUUCCACCUGGGGAGUACGCCGGCAACGGUGAAACUCAAAGGAAUUGACGGGGGCCCGCACAAGCGGAGGAACAUGUGGUUUAAUUCGAUGAUACGCGAGGAACCUUACCCGGGCUUAAAUUGCAGUGGAAUGAUGUGGAAACAUGUCAGUGAGCAAUCACCGCUGUGAAGGUGCUGCAUGGUUGUCGUCAGCUCGUGCCGUGAGGUGUCGGCUUAAGUGCCAUAACGAGCGCAACCCUUAUCUUUAGUUACUAACAGGUUAUGCUGAGGACUCUAGAGAGACUGCCGUCGUAAGAUGUGAGGAAGGUGGGGAUGACGUCAAAUCAGCACGGCCCUUACGUCCGGGGCUACACACGUGUUACAAUGGGGGGUACAGAAGGCAGCUAGCGGGUGACCGUAUGCUAAUCCCAAAAUCCUCUCUCAGUUCGGAUCGAAGUCUGCAACCCGACUUCGUGAAGCUGGAUUCGCUAGUAAUCGCGCAUCAGCCACGGCGCGGUGAAUACGUUCCCGGGCCUUGUACACACCGCCCGUCAAGCCAUGGGAGCCGGGGGUACCUGAAGUACGUAACCGCAAGGAUCGUCCUAGGGUAAAACUGGUGACUGGGGCUAAGUCGUA
rnacentral:rRNA from 1 species